rnacentral:siRNA from 1 species
AAGGUAUAGACAUCGUGAUGAUA